AGCAAUUCCCCAAUAGAUUUGAGCAUCAUGAAGCAUUGCUUUCAGUCUUCCAAACAAAUGCCAGUAAUUAAAAACUUAACAGAUUACUAGACCUUUAGGGUUUUUACUCCUAUAACUCAGUGGAAUUUUAUGCUAGUGGAGCAGCCUUUCUGAGUUACUCAGAUCCUCUUUUAUCAGUGCCAGAUAAUGAAGGUAAGAUGUUACCUUCCCGGGUGGUUCCUUGUGUUCUCCCCCAUCACCUCAGUGGAGUCCAAUAGCAAAUCUUGCCUCUAUUGUUUUAACCCUGCUUGAAGAGGUAAAACUCACAAGGGGAUAUGGCAAUUUCAUGGUUCAGAAAUAUGGCUUCUGCGUGGAAAAUUGAGUCCAAGCCAGCCACUGUAAGGUGUUUCCUCUGGAAUGCUGAUCCCUUCCCCUUCGCAGGAAUCAAUAUAUCACCCAAGGUCAGCAUAUGAAGCCCUGCUUGGCAGGGUCAUGUUCUGCUUAUGAUGAGAGGAAGGAGCUUGGGAAAGCUUUGCAUCCUACCCAGGGAAGUGAUCAAGAGAUAGGAGGUGAGAUCUGAAAAAUUAAUUGCGGGGUGUGUUUGUUGAAGCUAAAGAGUAGACCGAACUGCUUGCUAGCAUAUUUAUUCCAUGAGAUAUGUUUGAUUGAUUAAAGAGACUCUUUCUAUGUUUCUCUUACCUUUUCACUUCCUUUUUAGGAAUCACCUUAGCCUGACACUUAUUUUACAAUGGACUGGAAAUGUCUUUAAAAUGUCUCCCUUCCUGUUACAAUGCAAUCUACUAACAGCCAUCUCAUUAACCUCACUAGGUCAACUUUCCACACUCUUGCAAGGGCAUCAUUUCCCCUUAAACGGCUGCAACUACGAACGAUCUGGAGUGUCCAGUUUUGUUAAAGAGGCUGACAGGUACACCUCCACGUAGUAUUUGGAUAUUUCAUGAGCCCCAGCAUACUGAAAGUUGUCAUUUUCCAGCAUUUUUUGGUCUGGCUACGUCCACUGCUAAAUAGUUUUUGCAAUAUUAAAAGAUUAAUGAGCUUGA